rnacentral:rRNA from 1 species
UACGAAGGGGGCUAGCGUUGCUCGGAAUCACUGGGCGUAAAGGGUGCGUAGGCGGGUCUUUAAGUCAGGGGUGAAAUCCUGGAGCUCAACUCCAGAACUGCCUUUGAUACUGAAGAUCUUGAGUUCGGGAGAGGUGAGUGGAACUGCGAGUGUAGAGGUGAAAAUUCGUAGAUAUUCGCAAGAACACCAGUGGCGAAGGCGGCUCACUGGCCCGAUACUGAC